CCUCCUUUCUUCCUCCUUUCUUCCUCUUUUUCCCUUUUCUGCCGCCUGCCCCCUCCACGUAGCGUGCAGGAUGACGGCCCUACGGGUUGUAAACUGCUUUUAUCCGGGAAUAACGCGCCUUACGUGUAGGGCUUUGCAUGUACCGUAUGAAUAAGGACCGGCUAAUUCCGUGCCAGCAGCAGCGGUAAUACGGAAGGUCCGGGCGUUAUCCGGAUUUAUUGGGUUUAAAGGGAGCGUAGGCGGGCGUUCAAGUCAGCUGUAAAAUCGCGCGGCUCAACCGCGCCCCGCAGUUGAAACUGGACGCCUUGAGUUCACAACAGGCAGGCGGAAUUCGUGGUGUAGCGGUGAAAUGCAUAGAUAUCACGAGGAACCCCGAUUGCGAAGGCAGCCUGCCGGGGUGCGACUGACGCUGAGGCUCGAAGGUGCGGGUAUCAAACAGGAUUAGAUACCCGUGUAGUC
rnacentral:rRNA from 1 species